UACGUAGGGUGCGAGCGUUUGUCCGGAAUUAUUGGGCGUAAAGAGCUUGUAGGCGGUCUGUCGCGUCUGCUGUGAAAAUCCGGGGCUCAACCCCGGACUUGCAGUGGGUACGGGCAGACUAGAGUGUGGUAGGGGAGACUGGAAUUCCUGGUGUAGCGGUGAAAUGCGCAGAUAUCAGGAGGAACACCGAGUGGCGAAGGCAGGUCUCUGGGC
rnacentral:rRNA from 1 species